rnacentral:rRNA from 1 species
GUACGUAGGGAGCGAGCGUUGUCCGGAAUUACUGGGUGUAAAGGGAGCGUAGGCGGGAGUGCAAGUCAGAUGUGAAAUACAUGGGCUCAACCCAUGGGCUGCAUUUGAAACUGCAUUUCUUGAGUGAAGUAGAGGUAAGCGGAAUUCCUGGUGUAGCGGUGAAAUGCGUAGAUAUCAGGAGGAACACCGGUGGCGAAGGCGGCUUACUGGGCUUUUACUGACGCUGAGGCUCGAAAGCGUGGGGAGCAAACAGGAUUAGAUACCCUGGUAGUCCACGCUGUAAACGAUGAUUACUAGGUGUGGGGGGACUGACCCCUUCCGUGCCGCAGUUAACACAAUAAGUAAUCCACCUGGGGAGUACGGCCGCAAGGUUGAAACUCAAAUGAAUUGGCGGGG